UCCCUGAUGGUGCAGUGGUUAAGACUCUGUGCUUCCAAUGCAGGAGGUUCAGGUUCAAUACUUGGUCAGAGAA
rnacentral:tRNA from 1 species